rnacentral:ncRNA from 1 species
CCCGCUGAGUUUAAGCAUAUCACUAAGAGGAGGAAAAGAAACUAACAAGGAUUUCCCUAGUAGCGGCGAGCGAAACGGAAAGAGCCCAACUUGGAAAUCGGGGUGUCUUUGCACCUCGAAUUGUAGUCUGGAGAAGGGUCCUCUACAGCGGACCGAGUUUAAGUCCCUUGGAACGGGACGCCAGAGAGGGUGAGAGCCCCAUCUAGCCCGGACCUGCUGCAUCACGAGGCUCUUUCGGUGAGUUGGGCUGUUUGGGAAUGUAGCCUUAAGUGGGUGGUAAAUUCCAUCCAAGGCUAAAUACUGGUGAGAGACCGAUAGCGCACAAGUACCGCGAGGGAAAGAUGAAAAGGACUUUGAAAAGAGAGUUAAAAAGUGCUUGAAAUUGCUGGGAGGGAAGCGAAUGGAUGCCUUGUGCGCCCCUUGGUUGUGUGUGGAACGGCGAGAGCUGGUUUGCCAAGCAAUGCAAGGGGCUGUCCAGCAUGGGAGGAUGCGGCGGGAUAAUGGCUUGUGAGCCUCUGGCUCCCUGCCAAUGCCGCCGCUGCCUCUGAAAAUGGCGGGGUGCUCCGGUGCCCCGCCAGAUGCUGGAACUUGGGCGUUCCAUCCGACCUGUCUUGAAACAUGG